AACGCAACUUGCGCCCGAGGCUUCGGCCGAGGGCAUGUCUGCCUCAGCGUCGGUAUACCCCCUCGCGGUCCCAUCCGCGGAUCUGGCCCUCUCGGCUGCUCUCCCCCCGGGAGACCUGCAGCCGGGUCGGCUGAAGCCCAGAGGCUCGAGCAUGGACCCCGCUUGCAGGGCGAUGGCUUGGUAGGUAGGUCUCCUACUCCACUGCCGCCGCCCGAGGGGUUUUUGCUGGCGGCCCCGCAGGAAUCCCGGCUUUGCCGGGAUGCUUUCACCUUCGACCUGAGCUCAGGCAAGAUUACCCGCUGAACUUAA
rnacentral:misc_RNA from 1 species